AUUGAACGCUGGCGGCAGGCCUAACACAUGCAAGUCGAGCGGAUGAAGGGAGCUUGCUCCUGGAUUCAGCGGCGGACGGGUGAGUAAUGCCUAGGAAUCUGCGUGGUAGUGUGGGAUAACGGCCGGAAACGGGCGCUAAUACGGCAUACGUCCUGAGGGAGAAAGGGGGGGAUCUUCGGACCUCACGCUAUCAGAUGAGCCUAGGUCGGAUUAGCUAGUUGGUGGGGUAAAGGCCUACCAAGGCGACGAUCCGUAACUGGUCUGAGAGGAUGAUCAGUCACACUGGAACUGAGACACGGUCCAGACUCCUACGGGAGGCAGCAGUGGGGAAUAUUGGACAAUGGGCGCAAGCCUGAUCCAGCCAUGCCGCGUGUGUGAAGAAGGUCUUCGGAUUGUAAAGCACUUUAAGUUGGGAGGAAGGGCAGUAAGUUAAUACCCUGCUGUUUUGACGUUACCAACAGAAUAAGCACCGGCUAACUUCGUG
rnacentral:rRNA from 1 species